UUUUUUUUUUCUGGCUGCACCCAUGUAAAUUGUAAGUUCCCAGGCCAAGGAUCGAAUCUGUGCCACAGCAGUGACCCGAGUUGCUGCAGUGGCCCCAAGCCGCUGCAGUGACAAUGCUGGCUCCUUAACCCACUGUUCCGCAAGAAGACUCCCUCAAUAACUCACUUCUAAAUAACACAUGGGAUCAAAGAAGAAGUCUCAAGAUAUAUGAAAAAUUAUUUCAAACUACACAAAAUGAUUAUGCAACUUGUAUAUAAGUUGGGGGACGCAGCUUGGAUCUGGUGUUGCUAUGGCUGUGGCAUAGGUCGACAGCUACAGCUAUGAUUUGACCCCGAGUCUGGGAUUUCCAUAUGCUGCAGGUGAGGCCCUAAAAAAGACAAAAAAUAAAACAACCAAAAAAACACCCCAAAACCAAAACCUAAAAUGAACAGAAUUUUAAAAAUAAUAAAAAUUGAGGGACAAUCAAUGUAAUUGUGAAGAACCAAUGGAGAAUAUUAAAACGAAAAAAAAUCUGGUUAUUGGACAAGACUAAUAAAAUUGAUAAACAUCUAGUCAACGUAACUAAGAAAAGAAGAAAUUAUAACAUAAGGCCAUCCUGGGUAACUGUUGAGUUAUGACAGCUGGUUGCUGAAGCCUCUACAUUAAAGGACUCUCUGAGGACACUUCCAGGUAUGACUGUAAACAGUGAAGACCCCUCUGUGGUAGGGGUGUCCAUUCAAGGGGGGCCAAGUUGCAACACCAUAAAUGGACAGAAGUGCAUACAAAUGCACAAGAAUAAGGAACAGGUUACUUCCUAAACACCACCAGAAUCUAGACAAUGUUGUGAGUGCUAAGAGGGAUGACAGCUAUUUCUUCAUGGUGUCAGGAAGGGCUUGGCCCUGUGGGGUUUUUUUUGUUUGUUUGUUUGUUUGUUUUAAGGGCUGCACCCACAGCAUAUGAAAGUUCCCAGGCUAGGGGUCCAAUCAGAAUUGGAGCUGCCAACCUACACAAGAGCCAUGGCAAUGGUGGAUUCCCAACGCACUAAACCUGGCCAGGGAUCGAAUCCAUGUCCCCAUGGAUACCAGUUGGGUUCAUUAUUGCUAAGUCACAAUGGGAACUCCACCUUGUGUUUUUAAAUAAUCUUUUUAAUAUAACCAAAAGGUCAGGGACUCUUAUGUGUGGGGCCCAUCCACUUUUUAAAAAUAAUUUUGGGAGUUCCCAUUGUGGCGCAGUGGUUAACGAAUCUGACUAGGAACCAUGAGGUUGUGGGUUUGAUUCCUGGCCUAGCUCAGUGGGUUAAGGAUCUGGCAUUGCCGUGAGCUGUGGGGUAGGUCGCAGACGCGGCUCGGAUCCCGAGUUGCUGUGGCUCUGGUGUAGGCCAGUGGCUAUAGCUCCGAUUAGACCCCUAGCCUGGGAACCUCCAUAUGCCACAGGAGUGGCUCAAGAAAAGGCAAAAAGACAAAAAAAAAAAAAGUCCUGGAGUUUCUAUUGUGGCUCAGCAGUAAUGAUCCUGACUAGUAUCCAUGAGGAUUUGGGUUUGAUCCCCAGCCUCGGUCAGUGGGUUAAGGAUCUGACAUUGCACCAAAUUCUUAACCCACUGAGCAAGGCCAAAGAUUGAACCCAAAUCCUCUCAGAGACAAUAUCGGGUCCUUAACCCACUGAGCCACAAGGUGAAUGCUAAAGGCCUUUUUUUAAUGUAUACUGGGCCAUAUUAACUCACUUAAGUAAGGGGUAAAGACCAUGGAAUCCCAUUUUGUGAAGUCAAUUUGGAGGUACGAAACAAAUAUUAAUUAAUAAACUGGUUUAGAGCUUUCUGACUCACCAUGGGAUAUUUUAGGACAUUGUGAGAAAAGGCAAAGCAGUUCUGAUGGUUAAGCAAAGUGUACCAGUUUGUCCUCCAUAUUAUAUUCAAUAGUUCCCCUAAGAUCAUGGUCUACCUUGCUUAAAUUUACAAGAUCCCAGGUAUAACUGUAAUUUGAAACCCAGAAUUGAGUAACUGCAUAAAGGGUUGUGAAUUACUGUGUUACAGGAGAUGGUAACAUUAAUUCAAGACCUGUGUUUUAGAGGCUCAAAAGCCAAAGGGCACCCUUGUAUCCUUUUUUGUUACAAAAAUUAUUUUAACAUAUUUUAGCUUUCCAGAUGGGUCAAAUUGUGGCCCUUUGUCCACAUAAUUUUCCUGUUGUUCCUUCUCUCAUGUUCUUCCCUGUUUUGUAUUUUAGGUCUCUGCAUAAACCUCAGGGAAGUGGGUGUCCUCUCUGCUCCAGUAUUUAUAAAACUGUUCCUCUAGAGGUCCUCAAACCUGUCACAUCAGGUUAGAGCACUCUGGCAUGGAAAUGGUUGCUACAUAGUUUAAGUAUCCCGGGCUGAAAUCUGGUUUGAACUAAUCCCUUUGCUGUGCCAUAUCCCUUUACUGUUUUGCCCACAAUAGCUCAGAGGAUCAGUAGGGGCAAGGGCUGCAGCAACAGAGGUACUUGAGGGUCCUGGUGAGCCCCCUGGUAUUAGGAGUGGACUCGGCCUGCCACUUACCGGCUGCCUUGCUCCGUUUCCACUCUGAAAAAAACCUCUCUUCUUCACAGUGUGUAAUCAUCCUUAAACUCACCUGAGACUACCCCACCCCUACUGUCAGGGCCACCGCAGCCUCACUCAUGCAUUCACUCUAAACGUACAGGCUAAAUCGAAAACGAUAACUGUUAAGUGGGCCCCAUUUCCCGAUGGCUGAAGCAAGAGCACCGAAGGAAAUCAGGAUGAUUUGGAGGAAGUCUGCUUUUGAUCUUCUUGUCUUACAGGGUUUCCCCCCGCAACCUUCCCAGGUAUUGCUACUUAAACGAAGUAAUUUUUAUGAACCAUAUUUUUCUAUUUAGUAGCCUGUAAUUUUAACUUGUAAUUUGUUCCCUGUCUUACUGUGGUCAUUGCAAAAUCUUGGGAGACGCGGGCACAGAGCUGCCGGGGGAGGAGCUGGGCAGUGACACCCGGGGUCCCAGCGGCCAGCCCAGCACCCCCACCUCCCAGUUCGUCCUUAAGGGAAUGAGGUCUGAGCAGCGCCGAGAGGACUCAGGUCCACAAACUCCGGGGUCGACCACGAGGAGGCCCAGAUCCUGCCACCGCUGUUCGGACCCCUCCUUCCCGUCCUCGGACACCCAGCCCCACACACUCACCAAUUCCUGGGGUUUCGAGUCCCCGGGGUCGUCCCUUUGACUCCCACGACCUGCAGAACUCACAGCGCUCCUGACGCAGAACAGAAACACGGUUCCAACCUUCCCGCCUGCCUUCUGAAGCUUCCAGCUAUUUGCUCCACCCAACUGCCCCUGCUGUACUCCUGAUUGGACCGUUCGAAAGGAACCGCCCCCUUUUCCCUGAGUGACAACGGGGCAGGAAACUCAUGUGGUGGAGCCCAACAAGCUUCGCCCGUGGGCGGGAACUUGUCCCCUCUAGGGACUUUUGCUUUUAAACAAACUCCUCCCUGGUCCUCGAGGGACAGUGGUGUCUUCCUACAGCUCCUUUUGAGUUCGAGACCCAGGUGUUCGUAGGGAAUUCCAGAGUCAUUUUCCAGACAGAGAGCCACCAUUGACUGAAGUGAGAGGGGUCUCAAGUCAGGCCAACUGGGACAAGAGGGUCCAAGGAUCUCCCGGGUCAGGGGUUGGCAUAGGCUGCGAGCCCACUUGUGGUACAGGCCCUUGUUUACAAACACACUUGAAAAUAACCUAAACAAUGUACUAAAGAGUCUCCCUCCGUUCUGACCUAUGUCAACAGCUUGAGGCUUCCACCCACCCCGUCUUCAUCUCCAUUCACUUGCACUUGAGCUAAAGAAUCCUCCAAGCACUUGGCUCUGGUGGCAGUUUGAAUCCCCUCAGCCCUCACCUGGGUGAAGGGACCUGGCUCUGACCAACCAUAACCUAUGAGGUGUGUAUAUAAAACCCUCAGGUAUAUAGUUUACACUAGAAGAAAAUGUGUUCUAGAUAGCUUUUGAGUGUCCCCCUAGAAAUUUUCAAAUAUAAAUGGCUAUAGCACUAAGGCAACUGAAGCUUGUUACCAAAAUAAAAAAAUGAAAAAAUUAUGUAAAUAUGUACAUACCUGAAAACUCUUUAAUAUACUUAACAGGUUGAUUCAAAACUCCUCAAGCACUUAUUUGAAGAGCUUUGUUGAGAUGUAAUACACAUAUCAUACAAUGCAUUUCCGUAACACGUAUAAUUCAAUGGUGUUUGGUAUAUUCACAGGUAUGUACAAUCAUCACCACCAUUUUUUGUGGCCUCAAAAAGAAACCGGAGUUCCUAUUGUGGCUCAGCAGGUUAAGAACCCUACAUAGUGUCUCUGAGGAUGUGGGUUCAGUCCCUGGCCUCACUCAGUGGGUUAAGGAUCCAGCAUUACCAAAAGCUGUGGCGUAGGUCACAGAUAAGGCUCCGAUCCAGUGUUGCCAUGGUUGUGGUGUAGGCCUGUCUGCAGUUCUGAUCCGACCCCUAGCCUGUGAACUUCCAUAUGCUGCAGGUAAAAAAGAAGGGAGGGAGGGAAGGAAGGAAGUUAGGAACCCUUGUACCCUUUAUAUGUCACUGCCUUAUCUUCCCAUCUUCUUCCUCCAAACUGCAAUCCUAGGCAACCUCUAAUCUGUGACCAUGUUGUCCCUAUGAACGCCAUUGCUUCUCACUUGGGGAACCUAAGGAGCCCUCAGGGAUUCUGGAGGUCUGGGAAGGGGGUGACUUCUUUCAACACCACGGCACCUGGCAAGGACUGAGGAGAGGGGAGGCCACCCCUCCUGCAGGUGGUUAUGGCCGAAGGCCCAGGUUUAGCUGUGUCUUGUCUCACGGGGGUCUCUGUAGCUGAGCUGAGCUCCUGGGCUGCUGAUUACAGGCAGCAAGUCAUAAGGUGCCUGGGAAGCUGGAUGAGGGGUGACAUGCUCAGGUGUUUUUAGCACAGCUCUGGAAGAAGGGGUUGUUGCAGCUCCAAUGGCAAACAGACUGAGAUCAAGGGAAGCAGUUUGUGUUAGAAGCCAGUGGACAAGAGUUUCCAUUGUGGCUCAGCACUAACGAACCUGACUAGUAUUCGUGAGAACUUGGGUCUGAUCCCCGGCCUUGCUCAGUGGGUUAAGGAUCCAGGGUUGCUGUGAGCUGUGGUAUAGGGCGCAACUCAGAUCUGGCAUUGCUGUGGCUGUGGUAUAGGACAGCAGUUGCAGCUCCGAUUUGAGCCCUAGCCUGGGAACUUUCAUAUGCCACA
rnacentral:lncRNA from 1 species